rnacentral:rRNA from 1 species
ACAGCAUCUAACUAAAAAUCCUACACAUUAAAACAACUUCUUGCCAACAAAUCAGAGCCACCCUAUAAAAAUAUAGAGGAAUUAAUGUUAGAACUAGUAACAAGAAUUUUUCUCUUAGCACAACUGUAACUCAGUAAUAGAAAGACUACUGAGAAUUAACAACCCUAGGUACUAUAUAAAA